rnacentral:tRNA from 2 species
UUAAUUGAAGCCAAAUAGAGGCUUUUCAUUGUUAAUGAAAUUAAUGAUUAUAAAAUCCAAUUAAA